rnacentral:tRNA from 1 species
UCUAAUAUGGCAGAAUAGUGCAAUGAAUUUAAGAUUCACAUAUAAAUAUAAUUAUUUUUUUAGAA